rnacentral:rRNA from 1 species
UGAGGAAUAUUGGGCAAUGGAGGAAACUCUGACCCAGCCAUGCCGCGUGAGUGAAGAAGGUUUUCGAAUUGUAAAGCUCUUUCGGAUGUGACGAUGAUGACGGUAGCAUCUAAAGAAGCCCCGGCAAACUUCGUGCCAGCAGCCGCGGUAAUACGAAGGGGGCGAGCGUUGUUCGGAAUUACUGGGCGUAAAGGGUGUGUAGGUGGAUAAGUAAGAUAGCGGUGAAAUACCUGGGCUUAACUUAGGAAUUGCCGUUAUAACUAUUUAUCUAGAGUGACAGAGAGGAUAUUGGAAUACCCAGUGUAGAGGUGAAAUUCGUAGAUAUUGGGUAGAACACCGGAGGCGAAGGCGAGUAUCUGGCUGUCAACUGACGCUGAGGCACGAAAGCAUGGGGAUCAAACAGGAUUAGAUACCCUGGUAGU